rnacentral:rRNA from 1 species
GACGAACGCUGGCGGCGUGCUUAACACAUGCAAGUCGAACGGAAAGGCCCUGCUUUUGUGGGGUGCUCGAGUGGCGAACGGGUGAGUAAGACGUGAGUAACCUGCCCUUGAUUUUGGGGUAACUUCAGGUAACUGGGGUUAAUACCGGAUAGGAGCUCCUGCUGCAUGGUGGGGGUUGGAAAGUUUCGGCGGUUGGGGAUGGAGUCGCGGCUUAUCAGUUUGUUGGUGGGGUAGUGGCUUACCAAGGCUUUGACGGGUAGCCGGCCUGGGAGGGAGACAGGCCCCAGAGGGCCUGGGGAGGGAGCAGUGGGCCAUCGUGGGGAAGGGGUGGAAACUAGAGCACACUGGACGGAGUGGGGGAAGAACACCUCCGGGUGGGAAAGACCGUCUUUCGGGUUGUAAACGCCUUCGCCUGUGACGAAGCGGUAGUGACGGUAAUGGAUAAAGAAGCACCGGCUAACUACGUG